UCCUUCUACACUGUAAAGAGGUAUACCAACGAUUGGUGGUACGUCUCUCUCCCGAGGGAGGUCUUUGCUUUGAUAAGGGGGGCUUUUUCAGUGCACAAUUGGAAGGAUUGGUUCUUUUUUUUUUGUCUUUGAUCCUGUAGAAGAGUGGAGAUUUCGCCAUUGGGGUCGGUCGAUUCUGCCUUUUGGGUCUCGAAGCUUUGAGAUGAAGA
rnacentral:lncRNA from 1 species